AUUGAACGCUGGCGGCAUGCCUUACACAUGCAAGUCGAACGGCAGCACGGGUGCUUGCACCUGGUGGCGAGUGGCGAACGGGUGAGUAAUACAUCGGAACAUGUCCUGUAGUGGGGGAUAGCCCGGCGAAAGCCGGAUUAAUACCGCAUACGAUCUACGGAGGAAAGCGGGGGACCUUCGGGCCUCGCGCUAUAGGGUUGGCCGAUAGCUGAUUAGCUAGUUGGUGGGGUAAAGGCCUACCAAGGCGACGAUCAGUAGCUGGUCUGAGAGGACGACCAGCCACACUGGGACUGAGACACGGCCCAGACUCCUACGGGAGGCAGCAGUGGGGAAUUUUGGACAAUGGGCGAAAGCCUGAUCCAGCAAUGCCGCGUGUGUGAAGAAGGCCUUCGGGUUGUAAAGCACUUUUGUCCGGAAAGAAAUCCUUGGCUCUAAUACAGUCGGGGGAUGACGGUACCGGAAGAAUAAGCACCGGCUAACUACGUG
rnacentral:rRNA from 1 species